CCGUUCUCUUUUGUUUUCCAAGGAAAAAACAAAACACCCUCUCCCCCUUUUGUCUUUCCAACGAUCGGGCUCCCUCACCGCCCACCGUACCACCACUAUUUUCGGUGGCCGGUGACGCGCAACAAUAGGUAUUUCAACCCCGUUUUUGGGACCCUUUGAAGGCCGAGUUUUCAGCCAAACAAUGCGGAAAUGAAAGGGUCUCUCCCUCUCUAAACGACGCGACCCCGACGGCGGAGGAGGGAUCUCCAAUGACGAAGCCCCGAGCGAUUCCAUUUCGUCUUGCAAGUGUCAGACGCGUGGAAGGCCGAUGGUUGGUGCCCCAAGCGGUGGUGGUGGCGCGCGUGAUGGCCAAGGGGAGGGGGAGUGGCGGCUGAACUUUGGUGGCUAGGGUUAGGGUGGCUGCUGAAAAAAAGUUUAAGAUAGUGGGCUGACUUGGGCUUUAGGGUUUUAGGUUAUUGAGUUUAUUUUGGGCUAAAAUUUGAGUAUUGGGUUUUAAUUAGGUUUUGUUUUAAUUUUGGGUCAUGUAUUGGACUAUUUUUUGUUUAUUUGGUUUGGGUUCUUUUAGGCCAAAAUUGCCUAUUAUAUUUACACCUACCUUCAAAUUUUAUAGAAAAAGAAAAUAAUAUUAAGAGGACUUGCUCUUAUCAUGAAA